UUAGCAGUCAUGGGGGUUAUACCCCGUACAUAUGGAAUAUGUAACGGAGUGGAGAGAUGGUCUCGAUACGAUAGAGAGCAAUCUAUUUUAAGGUAAAUUUUGAUGGGACCUGCACACUACUGUAAAAAAAAAAAUGUAAUUAGGUGGGGCACUUUUUUGGGUAAUCAACUGUCUAAUCUUUAUCUUCUACCAGUUACUGAUGAUGGUGUAAUCUGUCUCGUGGAGCCUUCUGCCAUAACACACCUCCAUGCUGUUGAUGAUGAUGAAGACACCUUAUCAGCUGCCAUAGAGAGGGAAGUAAUAACUUUGGUUUCAGUUAAUUGUUCCACAAUACAACUCGCAACUUCUUUCUCCCUAACAGAGCAAUGCCGGAAGUUACAAUCAGGAAGAAGGUCCAUCAACCUCCACAGCACAGCUUACCUCAGUAAGAUGUUGUUCAGUGUUGACCCACAACUUACAAUGACACUAAGUAGACAUGGCACUGUGAAAUUCAACGUAAUUUAUGUUCCUAUAGCUCCCUGUGGAACAACUUUACAAUGUAUAUUUAGAAUCCCAAAUAAACAAAUCACACCUAGAAAUGGAGCACAUAAGGCUGCAGAUCACCAAAACAAAAAAGGAAAUACAACUGCUGGACCAUCAGUUAAAGGAAAUAAAGAAGACCCCAUAAAAUGA